ensembl:lncRNA
UUCGUUUGCUUCCAUUGAGUGAGUUGAUCCAGCACCUUGCCGCUGUCCACUGACUGAAUCCUCUACCUGAUCGGCUUUGCACUGCAUUCUUCUCAGUUUUGUGUCUCCAAGCAAAAUGUCGGGUGGAAUGUGCAAACUCUUGGUAUCAAGAUGCUGUUGCCACACCUUCCUUAAGUCUGGUGCCAGAGCCAAGUGCACAACCCUGGCCCUGUGAGGACAACCCCAGUGACUAUGGGACAGAGUGUCUCUCAUUAUACAGUGAUAACUUCAGCUCGGCUCAACAGACUGAACCUGCAGCAUACAGUGAACCCUGCAACUACACUCAUCAACAGCCCUGGUCCCUUGGACAUAUAUUGCACAAGGACUAUAAGGAAGGACAGGCCUCCUGCUCCUCAUUAGAGACUUGGACUCCGGCCUGCACACCAGAGAAAAUUAAUCCUUUGGACACCCAUCAUCUCCCCUCCUCACUACAAGAAUACUCAGACCCUGUGGAUCCCACUUACAUAUCGCUUAAUACAAAUAUCACUCAAUAUGAUACCUCUGUGUACUCAAACCCUACUGAAUCGAGCUCUACAAUACAGUGGAUGCCCUGACCUAAGUAGCACAGGUUAUUAUGGGUCAACUUUGGACAACUGUUAUUAUAAAUGGCAAAUGUCAAGCAUGAGUCAUGUUUUAAAUACAGAGUUUCUGGAGGGUGGCGGGGAGAUGGUGGCUGGCUGGGCGCACUCUGUUCUGUGCCCCAUCUGGAGACCAACCUGAGGUUUAGGGCUGGCAGGGUCUACCAGCUGUGUGUGUGAGUGUAUGAGAGAGAGAAAGUGAGAUAAGGAACUUUUUUUUAUAGAUUGCCAUAAUUAUUU